UGUAUACCUGGUCAAGCGUAAGCUAGGCCAAACCAUGUGUGAAUCAGUGUUCUCUUCCCAGCGGAAGGUCUUGCAACCCUGGGCUCUGCCUGGGCAAGCUUGAUUGACGGCUGGGGUAUUGCCUCGCAAGAGGUGAAUCAUGUUCAAUAGCAGGGAACUCAAAAGUAACAAAUUA
rnacentral:misc_RNA from 2 species